GACGAACGCUGGCGGCGUGCUUAACACAUGCAAGUCGAACGGAAAGGCCCUGCUUUUGUGGGGUGCUCGAUUGGCGAACGGGUGAGUAACACGUGAGUAACCUGCCCUUGACUUUGGGAUAACUUCAGGAAACUGGGGCUAAUACCGGAUAGGAGCUCCUGCUGCAUGGUGGGGGUUGGAAAGUUUCGGCGGUUGGGGCUGGACUCGCGGCUUAUCAGCUUGUUGGUGGGGUAGUGGCUUACCAAGGCUUUGACGGGUACCCGGCCUGAGAGGGUGACCGGCCACAUUGGGACUGAGAUACGGCGCAGACUCCUACGGGAGGCAGCAGUGGGGAAUAUUGCACAAUGGGCGGAAGCCUGAUGCAGCAACGCCGCGUGCGGGAUGACGGCCUUCGGGUUGUAAACCGCUUUCGCCUGUGACGAAGCGUGAGUGACGGUAAUGGGUAAAGAAGCACCGGCUAACUACGUG
rnacentral:rRNA from 1 species